rnacentral:rRNA from 1 species
GACGAACGCUGGCGGCGUGCUUAACACAUGCAAGUCGAACGGAAAGGCCCUGCCUUUGUGGGGUGCUCGAGUGGCGAAAGGGGGAGUAAAACGUGAGUAACCUGCCCUUGACUUUGGGAUAACUUCAGGAAACUGGGGCUAAUACCGGAUAGGAGCCCCUGCUGCAUGGUGGGGGUGGGAAAGAUUCGGCGGUUGGGGAUGGACUCGCGGCUUAUCAGCUUGUUGGUGGGGUAGUGGCUUACCAAGGCUUUGACGGGUAGCCGGCCUGAGAGGGUGACCGGCCACAUUGGGACUGAGAUACGGCCCAGACUCCUACGGGAGGCAGCAGUGGGGAAUAUUGCACAAUGGGCGGAAGCCUGUUGCAGCAACGCCGCGUGCGGGAUGACGGCCUUCGGGUUGUAAACCGCUUUCGCCUGUGACGAAGCGUGAGUGACGGUAAUGGGUAAAGAAGCACCGGCUAACUACGUG